rnacentral:rRNA from 1 species
GACGAACGCUGGCGGCGCGCCUAACACAUGCAAGUCGAACGAGCGAGAGAGAGCUUGCUUUCUUGAGCGAGUGGCGAACGGGUGAGUAACGCGUGAGGAACCUGCCUCAAAGAGGGGGACAACAGUUGGAAACGACUGCUAAUACCGCAUAAGCCCACGACCCGGGCAUCGGGGUUGAGGGAAAAAGGAGUCGAAUCCGCUUUUGAGAUGGCCUCGCGUCCGAUUUAGCUAGUUGGUGAGGUAACGGCCCACCAAGGCACGAUCGGUAGCCGGACUGAGAGGUUGAACGGCCACAUUGGGACUGGAGACACGGCCCAG